UACGUAGGACCCGAGCGUUGUCCGGAAUUACUGGGUGUAAAGGGUGCGUAGGCGGACUUGUGCGUCGAGGGUUAAAUCUCCAAGCUUAACUUGGAACAUGCCUUCGAUACGGCAAGCCUUGAGUGUGAGAGAGGAUGAUAGAAUUCCUGGUGUAGCGGUGAAAUGCGUAGAUAUCAGGAGGAAUACCAGUGGCGAAGGCGGUCAUCUGGCUCAUUACUGACGCUGAGGCACGAAAGCGUGGGGAUCAAACAGG
rnacentral:rRNA from 1 species